UGAUGGGCGAAGUCCGUAAGGCUGCCGAGGCUCGGUUCCGAAUACGCAGCACUCACAGGGGCAAUGUCACCACCGGCUCCCUUCUUUCCACUUGACGUGAAUUCAAAGGACUUGUCCCUCCUACAAAUGCACUGAAUACUCCAGAAAGAGCCCCAUGCCUCGGAGUAGAGCUACUCAGGGAAAAUGAAAAUGAAACUUUAUUAGAGCUGGCUCUCCGUCUGUCAUUCAAAUUUAAAUAAUCAAGUGUUUUGACAUAUUACUUCCAAACUAAAUGCAAAGCCUUUUAAACCGUGGAAUAAGCUGGGUGUUCCCAGGCGGCUGAUUUACUCAUCUACAAACCUCGAACCUCCUCUCUCAGGAGCGUGGAGCCUUUUCCCGCAUCUGACUUGCCAGAGUGCCCCUCUUUUUCUCCAAGCUCACGAGAUGAUUGCUUCUCACCUGCUUCUCACGUGCUCGGUUCUGGCAGGACCUGGCGGAGUCGUCCUGUCCCAGGUUCGGGUACCAGGAUCUGGUGACCGUCUGAGAUGAGAACGUCGAGUUCGACUCCCAGCCAGGAUCAUGUCAUCCCCGUGGGCGAGGGGCUGCAGUUCCAUGUCUGCCUCUGUCUCACGCUGCUGCCAGCGGUAGACACGGGGUUCGUGCUGUCCCCCCAUGCGGUCCCCGGUGCCAGGAGGUGGCAGAAAGUCAACCCCAAUCCACUUUUCUCUGGACGGCUCACUUAGGGGCACGUGGUUUUUGUCUGAAGUCCUUGGACAGAAUCCUCUCUUGCUUGCCAAGAUUCCUUCUAGUGACCCUUCUUUACUCCAUCUUUUUUGGGGAUCAGUCACUGGGAAAUAGCCUUUCAGGCGAUCUCAGGAGCAAAUAAAACGUGCUGCAGCCCGAAGGCCUGGUGCUCGCUCGGCCAGCGUCCACCGCUGGCUGGGUGGCCUUGGCAAAGACACCACACUUCCCUGGGGGUGAAAACGCCUGUCCCCUAAAUCCCCGAGACAGGUGUGGCGCUCUCAGGGGCUAAUGCUGGGAAAACCCACUGGUGGAAAGGACUGUGCUACAGGGUCCACACUGCUGCUGCUUUUCUACCUUCUGCGGCUCCGGACUGGAGCCCUGGAGCCGAUCACGGCCGACGGCGGGCCGUGCUGGGACCGCCCGUGACACCCGUGAAGAGCAUGGCCUGGGCCCGGGCGCCCCUGCGGGCCACGAACAUCAUAGCUCCCUCCGGUUCGGGUGAGUGCUGUAGCCUCUUCUCUGAAAAACAGGGGCAGUCAUUUGAAAACAGCAUCUUGAAGAGAUUCAGCGACGCUGAGUAAGUCAGAACCCGCUCACACGGACCCUGCCGUCACCGUCGGGGAGGCUGAGCCUUGACCUGUGCUCCUGCACCGACAUCCCCGCUCCAGCAAGUGACCCUCACACGUGACCGCCCGGGAUGGGGACUGCAGCAUGGGGACACGACAGGGGCCACACGGGGAGCAGCGGCCGGGUCACCUCUGAUGGGCACACAUGGCGAGAACAUAAAGCUCAUCUGUGCUUCCUGAUUGCUCACAGUUUUUACGAUCUGAGAGCUCUCUUCUUACGAAGAGGGGCUAUUACUGGCCGAUGAAAACCCACCUUAAGAUGAUGCCAUGACCAAGCAUUGAACGCACUGCUGGCCUCCUGGUCAUGAGACAGUCAGGCCGUCCUCCCUGGGUAACUCGGGAGGACAGGGUGCCGUGUCUGCACCUGGCAUCAUCAGCCCGAAGGCACACGCUCCCUGCAGUCCGAGGAUGGAGAACACAUCAGAGGCAGCCCAGCCUCGGAAGGACGGCCACGUUCCUUCACCCCCUCACCUAGCGAUCAGCAGAGGCCACAGAGUGAAUAGAGGGGUAAUUGUGGUUGAGCGUCUUGAAGUUGGCCCACGCGGGCCGGCCGUCUCCCCAACCCGUUCCUACAAGGGCAGCAAAGGAGGGACAGAACAAGUCUAGUGACCUUGGGGACAAGUCUCUGAACAGGCCCUGGACGAGAAGAUGGACCCAGAAAAGGCAAGGGUGUUAGUGAGGCUUGCGGGGAGCAGCUCUUCACCAAGGAGAGCUCUCCGUGCGGGACGAAGGCCGCGGUGACUCAGUUGCCCUGGGCUUGCACCCCACACACGGCCAGUGACUCAGAGCAUGAGCACCUGGGGUGGGACCGUCCAGCAAGACUCGGCACUUUCCUUGCCCAUCUGUACUGUUCUGGAAAAGUCUGUCGAGCCCUGGGACGGCAGCCUGACCCACGUCACAGGACUUCACCUCCAGAGCGUGUGCGAGCAGACGAGCUGCACCCUUAACCUUACAGGAACAGGAAGGGCCCAGGGCAGACUCCCUGAAGAAAUGUGAGGUGUGUCCUUGUAAAACUGGAUUGUUGGGGCAUGACUUAUCAAGGGGGAGGCAGCGCGGAGUCAUAGGAUGAGGUGGGUUUGGGAACCAGUUCUGAGUCCUCCCUGCCCCAUCUGAACUGUGAGGCUGUGGGCAAGUCACUUGACCUCUCUGAGCCUCUGGCGUAAGACGUGUGAAAAAGGGACAUUUCCCGGCAAAACUUCUCGGGGAUGAUACAAAACAGGCAGGAAGAUAAAACCUGAUGUCAGAGCCAAUGACUCAACCAGCCGGCGGGGAGGAUUCAUGACGCUCCUAGGAACAUCCUUGCAUAAAUCACAGCCAAGAAAGCCUGGCAAGACCACGUUUACGUUUCAAACUCUUUCAGGAGAACAGGAAAAACAGCUUUUUAACGUAGCCAAUAAGAUACAGCUUUACAAGAUCUGACUUAAAUCCAGAGCACCGAGCGAGUUGAUACAAUGGUAAGAGUCAUUAACAAACCGAAGCCUACCAUACAGUCUUAUAUGCGUGGGAGAAUUUAUAGAUAUCGUAGAGACAUUUAAAAUAUCAGACCCAUUUCGUGCCAAAUAGUUUAGACCAUGUUUUCUCAGCCUCGACCUAUUGACAUUUCAGCCCAGAUAAUUCUGUCAUGGGGCGCGGGGGGCUGUCCUGCACAGUGUGGUAGUUCGGCCUCACCCCCAGCCCUGACCCACAUGUUGCUAGGAGCACCCACCCCGACUUGUGACAAGCAGAAUGUCUCCAGAUAUUGUGCAGCGUCCCCCGGUGGAGGGACAUUCGAACCUUCCCCAGCUGAGAACCACUGGUUGGACUGUUGUGGGACACUCUCAUUCUCGAGGUCCCAUUUCUUGGUCUGAAACAUAAGAUGCGUUUGUGGCAAACAUUCCAACAGAUGUUUGCUAGUCAGGAAGAGAUUAGACAGUCUUCUGUGUUCCCAGGUCAGCACCGUUUGGCCCGAGCAAACUUCUCAUCCCAGAAAGUUAUCUUUCCUCUUCUCUGAGACCGUGAGAGGGGUUCUUCAACAUUCGGUCAGGCCCCAGCUUGGACACCUGCUCCGUAUCUCUCAGGACUCUGCCCAUUCAAGGUCUAGUCUUUCCCAGGAUCUGACUAUGUUGCAUGACCUUUUGUUCUAAGUCUUCAAACUGCUUUCUGAUUAGAUUUUUUUCUUCUUCUCUUUCAAAAAACAACAACAAAAAAAUCAAGACCCUUAUUGUUGGAUUGCCAAUCAUCCCUGAACUCGUCUAUCAGCAGGCUUCUUCUUUCUUCAGAAUAUCUGGAAGAGAAAAGUCCUUACAGGGAACUGACUUUAAAAUAGGAUGGUUUUCUUGAGUCCUCAGAAUGGUUUUUAUUAUCCAGACCACCUGGUGAUGAGAGCUAUUGCAUAAAAGGACAUAAGUGUAGUCUAAAAGUACGCACUGGCACCUUUCAACAGGACACUUGCACUGUGGAUGCUGGUAGAUGGUCCUGCAUAAGUCACUGGGACCUAACCAUUCUGGCCCCAAGAGAAACAGCCACCCCCCCCCAUCCCUUCUAAGGCUAGGGGAUUCAGCAGGACUUUCUCCAAACACCUGCUCCCUUCCACCUCCAGUCCUUGUUUCCUAGAACACAGAUGCACAGUGCUGGGAUUUCCCUUCUGUAUCCUCCCUGACCGUCUGCAAUUUUCUGGGCCACUGUCUGCCUCUUUCCAGUCGAAACUAUGUCUGAGACCACAGUGAUGUGCGCUUGAGAUAACUGGCAGAUUCCAAUGUCUGAAACCUAAAGUUAGCCUAAGUGCCUUGGUGGUGUUGUCAUUGUUUGUUUUUUGUUAGAACGAGGCUCUGUUCAUAUGAAGGGUGAAGAGAUGAGAUCAAAUUAGAGAAGAUAUAAGAUCUAUUUCUAAAAGAUUUACAUAUUCUAACACUUCUAAAAUCUUUUACAAUGAGGACUAAUCUUAAGUAAGGUAGUCUGUUCUUUUUAACUGAGGUGAGAAAAAGUUCCUGUUAUUAGAUAUAUAGUGUUUUACAAUGGAA